GUGCCAGCCGCCGCGGUAAUUCCAGCUCCAAUAGCGUAUAUUAAAGUUGCUGCAGUUAAAAAGCUCGUAGUUGGAUCUCAGUUACGGGCAGGUGGUUCACUUUACGGUGCUACUACCUGUACCGAACUUGAUUGCUGGAUCUCUUGGGUGCCCUUCACUGGGUGCCCCUUGAGACCAGAGCGUUUACUUUGAGAAAAUUAGAGUGCUCAAAGCAGUCGAACGCCUGAAUAGUUGUGCAUGGAAUAAUGAAACAGGGCCUCGGUGCCAUAUUUGUUGGUUUUAGGCGCCCGAGGUAAUGGUUGAAAGGGACUGACGGGGGCAUUCGUAUUGCGACGUUAGAGGUGAAAUUCUUAGAUCGUCGCAAGACGGACAACAGCGAAAGCAUUUGCCAAGAAUGUCUUCAUUAAUCAAGAACGAAAGUCAGAGGUUCGAAGGCGAUCAGAUACCGCCCUAGUUCUGACCUUAAACGAUGCUAACUGGCGAUCCAGAGGGGGUAUUUCAAUGACCCGCUGGGCAGCUUCCGGGAAACCUAAGUUUUUCGGUUCCGGGGGAAGUAUGGUUGCAAAGCUGGAACUUAAAGGAAUUGACGGAAGGGCACCACCAGGAGUGGAGCCUGUGGCUUAAUUUGACUCAACACGGGAAACCUCACCAGGCCCAGACACUAGAAGGAUUGACAGAUUGAGAGCUCUUUCUUGAUUUGGUGGAUGGUGGUGCAUGGCCGUUCUUAGUUGGUGGAGUGAUUUGUCUGGUUAAUUCCGAUAACGAACGAGACUUUGGCCUAUUAAAUAGGCAGUGGAUAUUUAAAGUCCGCAUUGUCUUCUUAGAGGGACAAGGCAGCUUCAAGCUGCAUGAAAUGAAGCAAUACAGGUCUGUGAUGCCCUUAGAUGUUCUGGGCCGCACACGCGCUACAAUGAAAGUGGCAGAGUGUCUUCCUGACUCGAUAGAGUUGGGUAACCCUUGCAAACAUUUUCGUGCUUGGGAUUGAGGUUUGC
rnacentral:rRNA from 1 species